rnacentral:tRNA from 1 species
GGGGAUAUAGCUCAGUUGGUAGAGUGAUUGCCUAGCAUGCACAAGGCCCUGGGUUCAAUCCCCAGCACCACCA